rnacentral:tRNA from 1 species
CAGGGAAUAGUUUAGUUAGAAUAUCAGCUUUGGGUGCUGAUGGCGGGGCUGAUGCUUCUUCCUUG